AGACCGGACUCGUAAGUCCUGUGAUUGGUUGCUCUUACGUAAGUAGGUGAUACUCCGUCGGCAUUAUGCCCAUCUUCGGAUGUGAACGGUGAGAAUCGACCACCAGGGUGAGACGGUCA
rnacentral:ncRNA from 1 species